UGCAGUUUUAUCCUGAAAGGAGCACUGGCCUGGGGUGUAAGGAAAAAGGGAAAAACACACUGCAGAGGAAUUCAUUAACCGGAGGCAGGGGAACAAGAAAUCUACUGCUGCUGGUGAAGGCCCAUCCACUUUGGUCACGUGGUAUAACUCAGCCAAUCAUCAAAAGCGCACCUAAAGGCUCACCGUUUUACAGGACUUCACAAUACGAGUGUAUAAAUAAAAAAUCCAAAUUUA